GAUGAACGCUGGCGGCGUGCCUAAUACAUGCAAGUCGAGCGAACAGACGGGGAGCUUGCUCCUCUGACGUUAGCGGCGGACGGGUGAGUAACACGUGGAUAACCUACCUAUAAGACUGGGAUAACUUCGGGAAACCGGAGCUAAUACCGGAUAAUAUAUUGAACCGCAUGGUUCAAUAGUGAAAGACGGUUUUGCUGUCACUUAUAGAUGGAUCCGCGCCGCAUUAGCUAGUUGGUAAGGUAACGGCUUACCAAGGCAACGAUGCGUAGCCGACCUGAGAGGGUGAUCGGCCACACUGGAACUGAGACACGGUCCAGACUCCUACGGGAGGCAGCAGUAGGGAAUCUUCCGCAAUGGGCGAAAGCCUGACGGAGCAACGCCGCGUGAGUGACGAAGGUCUUCGGAUCGUAAAACUCUGUUAUUAGGGAAGAACAAAUGUGUAAGUAACUAUGCACGUCUUGACGGUACCUAAUCAGAAAGCCACGGCUAACUACGUG
rnacentral:rRNA from 1 species